AGUGAACGCUGGCGGUAGGCCUAACACAUGCAAGUCGAACGGCGGCACAGUAAGAGCUUGCUCUUACGGGUGGCGAGUGGCGGACGGGUGAGGAAUACAUCGGAAUCUACUUUUUCGUGGGGGAUAACGUAGGGAAACUUACGCUAAUACCGCAUACGACCUACGGGUGAAAGCAGGGGAUCUUCGGACCUUGCGCGAUUGAAUGAGCCGAUGUCGGAUUAGCUAGUUGGCGGGGUAAAAGCCCACCAAGGCGACGAUCCGUAGCUGGUCUGAGAGGAUGAUCAGCCACACUGGAACUGAGACACGGUCCAGACUCCUACGGGAGGCAGCAGUGGGGAAUAUUGGACAAUGGGCGCAAGCCUGAUCCAGCCAUACCGCGUGGGUGAAGAAGGCCUUCGGGUUGUAAAGCCCUUUUGUUGGGAAAGAAAAGCAGCAGGUUAAUACCCCGCUGUUCUGACGGUACCCAAAGAAUAAGCACCGGCUAACUUCGUG
rnacentral:rRNA from 1 species